rnacentral:tRNA from 1 species
CCGCCGGUAAAACGACCUACGGUUUUGUAAACCGAAGGUCGGCGGUUCGAAUCCGGCCCGGGGAGCCA